ensembl:lncRNA
GCCAGGCCCGUGUAGGAGAACAGGGACCGGCCGUAAUGGCUCCACCGGCAGCCAAGGUGGAUCAGACAGUUCAGGGGGCCAGGGUUGACCCAAAAGUUCAGGGGACCACGAGGGACCAGACAGUUCAGGUGGCCAGGGUGGACCCGAAAGUUCAGGGGACCACGAGGGACCCGGCAGUUCAGGUGGCCACGGAGGAUCAGUCCAUCUUAGUUGUGCAGACGGCCAGGGAGGAACUCGCCACUUGAGCGACCAGAGCGGAACCUGCCCUUCCGGUGUCCCAGUGGAGACGUGAAGGUGCUCUGGACGGCCUGUGGAGACGUGAAGGUGCUCUGGACGGCCUGUGGAGACGUGAAGGUGUUCUGGACGGCCUGUGGAGACGUGAAGGUGCUCUGGACGGCCUGUGGAGACGUGAAGGUGCUCUGGACGGCCUGUGGAGACGUGAAGGUGUUCUGGACGGCCUGUGGAGACGUGAAGUACCUCGACCUCGGGAACCAUCUCGGGCACCGCAACGGACAGCGCCUCGGGCACCGCAUCGGGAAUGGCCUCGGACCCUGCCUCGGGCACCGCAUCGGGAACGGCCUCCGCAUCGGGCACCGCCUCGGCCAUUGCAUCGGGCACCGCCUCGACCUCGGGCACCGCCUCAGUCUCGGGCAUUACAUCGGGAACCGUCUCUGGCACCGUCUCUGGCACCGCAUCGGGCACCGCCUCGGCAUCGGGCACCGUCUCGGCAUCGGGCACCGUCUCUGCAUCGGGCACCGCCUCGGCAUCGGGCACCGCCUCGGGCACCGCCUCGGCAUCGGGCACUGCCUCGGCAUCGGGCACCGCCUCGGCCACCGCCUCGGGCACCGCCUCGGC